rnacentral:lncRNA from 1 species
AGGACAAGUGGCUGCAAAAGCUAGGAUACCAACUGCUGAAGCUGCUACUUAGAAGGCUGACUUUCACAGGAGUAGAGAAUGAAUCUUACACAGUAGAUCCUGACUGUAAUAUUUUAUGCAUGACCUAAGGCUUUCAGUGUGAAGUUUUCCACAGGUAGUCUACACAAUAUCUCCAGAUCAUAUUUUUCACACAACAAUAUGUAGAGCUCAGAAAAGGGAAGUCUAGAGGUUAACACCUAAUUCAGCUGUGCUUUGUGGUCAAAACAGAUGAAACAAACUGGAAUAAUGAGGUACCUAGAAGAUAGCUAUAAUUAUAGAACAUGGGAUGUAGUUAAAAUCAAACUGAUCUAUUUGAUGGUUAUG